CUGAGAAACGAACGACAGAUGAUCCGUCUCUAUAUUUACAAAGUGGCGAAGUUGAAGUAUUUCACUCAAUUUUACAUUUUCUGCACGUAGGCAACCAGCCACCCUCUGUCACCUCUUCAGGGGUUCUCUUCAGUUUAAGCCGGCAGCCCUAGCACAAAGUUACCUGCACUGUCUCUAAAUUGCCGCACUUAUACAGGACAACUAUCCGACCAAUUGCCUAUUCUUUGCUGCAUUAAAUUAGUAUAAAUUGGCCAAUAAUUUAAAUUCGAGAGCGAAGCAAAACUUUCAGAUGACAUUAAAACGUUUCCUGUUCAUCACCCCAGAAUGCUGCUGACAUUGUGGGCUGUUGAUUCGUCAAGAUGACUUUAUAAUUUGUCGCAAAGAUCAUUGUUUUUCUUUUCUUCGCUCGUUUGAUAUCUUCACCAUUCUUUCAAAAUUGUCGAUAUCUUUCAUAGCCUGUAGUCCUUCAUCUUCCAUAUCAUUUUUAUCAUCAUCAGCAUCAAAACUUGAU